GACGAACGCUGGCGGCGUGCUUAACACAUGCAAGUCGAACGGAAAGGCCCUGCUUUUGUGGGGUGCUCGAGUGGCGAACGGGUGAGUAACACGUGAGUAACCUGCCCUUUACUUUGGGAUAACUUCAGGAAACUGGGGCUAAUACCUGAUAGGAGCUCCUGCUGCAUGGUGGGGGUUGGAAAGUUUCGGCGGUUGGGGAUGGACUCGCGGCUUAUCAGCUUGUUGGUGGGGUAGUGGCUUACCAAGGCUUUGACGGGUAGCCGGCCUGAGAGGGUGACCGGCCACAUUGGGACUGAGAUACGGCCCAGACUCCUACGGGAGGCAGCAGUGGGGAAUAUUGCACAAUGGGCGGAAGCCUGAUGCAGCAACGCCGCGUGCGGGAUGAAGGCCUUAGGGUUGUAAACCGCUUUCGCCUGUGACGAAGCGUGAGUGACGGUAAUGGGUAAAGAAGCACCGGCUAACUACGUG
rnacentral:rRNA from 1 species